AUGUGUUCGCGGCUCGGUUCAGCCUUCCACGUCAUCCUCCUGCCUCAGCUUCCCCCAGUCCUGGGAUUACAGACUUUAGGGAAGUCAUGAUUAAAAAUAAAUAAAUAGCCAGGCUGGUUGCACAUGCGAGCGAUUCCAGUGCUCACAAGGCAGAGACGGGGAGGUCAAGACUAAUUUGAGGCUAGCCUGAUCUACAUAACAAGAUGCAGACCGGGCAGGGCUACAUAGUGAAACCUUGUCCCCUUCCAUCACUAAAAAAAAAGAAGAGUGGGAGAGUGAAAGGACCAGCCGUGUGAAGGUGCUUACCACCGAGCCGGACAGCCUGACGUCAGAGUCAAUCCCCAGCACCCACACACAGAACAAAGCAAGAGCUCCUGAAGUUCUGCCAUUCCCCGUGGUCUGCAGUUCAGGAAGCUUCUGGAACAUGCGGCGCCUCUGCCAUGGAAACAAUAUCCGCGUCAUCAGCUUCAGAUGUGUUCUUGGAACACUGAGUUCGCCUUGGCAGCUGUCCGAAAGUUAAUCCUGUGAAGGGACCUGAAGCAGCCCUCUGAGGAAGUCUCGCGCACCCCUGCCGAAGAACAUCGCAGUGUGUUCAUUCCCCUUCCGUUGGCCUCGGGAUCCAAGCAGGAAAGAAGAGGGAAGAACUCUGAAGGACAUGAGAGGGACCCAGCUUACAGUCCAGACAAUAUUUGAAAGUGUCUUUUGCAUUCUCCACGGAGUCUUCAAGUGCUGAAACACUGAGGGAAGGGCCGUGCCUAGUAGCUGUGUGUCACUAUGGACUCUGUGGUAUAGGAGAUGGGCUCUGGCCAGUUGCCUUUGAAGAUGAACUUCGUUUCCAGACAGUUUUCACACAGGGUGGUAGGAGAUUUCUUACUGCUACACCUUCCACCCUAGCCCUGACCCUCGCCACCAGGCCGCCCAGCCAUAUUAGCUCAGAAGAUCCAUAAAGGGGCUGGAGCCCCAGUCCCCUCCCCUCUGCUUGAAGAUGUUAUUAAUUAGAGUUGUGCUAGGAUGCAGGAAUGACCUUGGGAAGGGGCACUUGGUGACUAAGCAAGAAUGGGCACGGGUGUGCUGACUCACCACACCCAGCUUGCAGGGGAGCCUGACUGAGGACCACCCUCAGGGUGACCUUGGAGGUCUGCAGGCUCAGCUCCCGCAUUGCCUAGUCCUAUACCUGUCGGGGAAAUGGUAACUUCGGAACUUAGUAGGCAGACAGUUUCUGGAGGUAACAUAGAGACAUGAAGGGGUACACUGAGCUGGUCCCCAAGGGGGCCCCAGGUGAAGGUCACAGCCCUUCCUUUUCGCCUACGGCUGAGUUCUGGGUCCCACCAAGAAUAGAACUCCCCUUCCUCGUUGGCUAUGAAAAUGUCUUAAUGUCUCUAAAUCCCAAGUUGCCUUAUGGCCACAGCCCUGCUUCCAACCUUCUUCUAAAGCAAGUACGUUAAGAGAUGGAGAUGUCGCUCAAUUGGUAAGGUGCUUGCCUAGCGUGCACAGAGAAGCCCUGGCUCCCUUUUGCAAUUCUUUAGAAACCAGGUGUGGUGGUGCAUUCUUGUAAUCCCAGUACUUGGGAACAUGUGGGCAGGCCACAUCGGAAUCUGUUGUCUCCAGUGUACCGGACGCUGGCUCUGGAAAUAAGUUGCUAGGAUGUAAUCUGUGCUGAGUCUCUAGGACAGUGUCUCCAGUCGGACCUAGAAUGACUGUCCCGAGCCACAUUCAACAAGAAAUAGCACAAAGGGGUAGAAGAGACAGAGGUGGAGAAAGUGCAGGUUCUGAAGGGACAGAUGAAAGGUAAUCCAGGUUCAUUCUAAAGCGGGCAGGGCUUCCAGGGGCCUUCUCAAGACAUCAGUCUAGAGACCUGUAAAGAUCUACACCCUUGCUGAUCUUGGCAGCACACACCUGUAAUCCCAGCAAGGCAGGGCACCCAAGAGUUCAAAGUCAUCAUUGGCUACAAAGUGAGUGUGAGACUAACAUGGGUAUCAUAGUUGAAGUCCUUCCUCAAAACAAACAAACAAACAAAAGCUGUUUAGGCCCCGGGCUGUGUUUCUCAUUGCCCUACUCCCUGGUCUGAGGUUAUCGGCAGGGCUCCCAGCUGUUGAGCCAGCUGUGUCUUCAUUGAGGUCCCUGACUGGCAUUCUGUCAUUCCCCAUCUGUGUGAGAGGAUCUCUUUGUGGGUUUUUUGUUUGUUUGGUUGGUUGGUUUCGUUUGGUUUUUUGAGACAGGGUUUCUCUGUGUAGCCCUGGCUGUCCUGGAACUCACUUUGUAGACCAGGCUGACCUCGAACUCAGAGAUCCGCCUGCCUCUGCCUCCCAAGUGCUGGGAUUAAAGGCGUUCGCCACCACGCCCGGCGAGAGGAUCUCUUAAGUGUACCUAAUUUGCAAGUGCUCACAGUGACCUGUGGGUCCCAGGCGGCGACUCAUUGAAUCUUCUCAACAAGCUUUGAAAUAAGUCUCUUAUGGCCUCCUGUUACAACUGAGGGAGAUAGAUGAGAGAGCUUCCCUCAGCUCUCUGAUCCACGCAACUCCUGAGUGGAGGAGCCAGGACUCAAAUCUGUAUCUUCCCUGCAUCCAUGACCUAAAAAGUCCUAGUGUUGGGUUGCAGGAGUUUCACUUACAUUUGCUAGGAUAAGCAGCCCGAUUUCUGGACUCUGUGGCCCUUUAAAAAUCCUGCUGCUUCUACAAUCUCUUCUUUAGCCUGCCCAAACCUAUCUAAUGCUUUACAGGAACAUGUGUGCCCGUGAGAGACAUGAGCUAAGGCAAUGAGAAGCUGUGACGCAGAUUCUGACACCAGCCCUCAGUACAUACCUUGUGCACCCCACAUGGUAUAAGGAGCUGGGUCUAGGUGCUAAGGCCAGCAGCUCACGGGCAAAGUGAGUCUCAGUCUGUAAAGAGAACAAGGCAGAUGUGCCUCCAGAGAGAAAAAAAGAACACAUGGAGAUGAAAUCCGGGCUUGGGGGCAAAGAGGAAACGUUUAAAUGUGUGUGUGCCUUGUGAAAGAAUUACACUCCCCGCCCCACCAUCACCAGAUGUGAUGACAUUACUUACAUAAGGUACUGUAUGUAGAUUGAACUCUGGACCUCACACAUUCUGGAAAGGGCUCUCCCACUAAGCCACAUCCCCAGCCCCUCACUGGGAUUCUGGGCAGGCGCUCUACUGCUGAGUCACGUCCCCAACUCUCUUUUGACUUAAUUUUGAGACUAGGUCUUACUGAGUUGCCUAGGCUGGCCUGAAUCUCACUCUGUAGCCCAGGCUGGCCUUGGACUCACAUUUUUCCCCCUGCUUAGCCUGCUGAGCCCCUGGGAUCAUAGACUUGCCUAGUUAUACCCAUUUGCUGCUGCAGCUAAUACCUUUAAACCAGUCUCCCCCCACCCCAGAAAACCUUCCUAGCUUAGUAUUAUCUUAAAUUCAGUGAAGAGAACAGCAGCUUUUCCCUGUUCCUCCACAUGAGGGCGCUACACCACUCAGCCAUGGGGUGAUGUGUUCAAGCCUCUCCCACAACCUUUAUGGGUGCAUUUCUUUUCUGUGUAUUCUCUAAUGAGAAGCACUGGGCCACCUCUGCAUGGUUUUUCUUGCCAAUUUCUCUUGUAGCCCUCUCUCCCAGCAGACAACCACAUUCAGCACACCCCUCACUUGUGCACUGCCAUGGCCGUCCGUUCCUUGUGACCAGCCAGAUGACUUAGAUAAUAGGGGAGUUUGAAAUGAAUGAGCUGAUACUAUCUGUAGGUUAGGAUUCUGACCAAAAGGUCUUCAGGGCUCUAGGGGAAGGGAUUAAUUGAAAUACCUUCCCGAGCAUAGGGCUUUUCUCCAGUGUGAAUUCUCUGACGUUGAAUGAGUUUCGUGAAUCUUGAAAGCCCUCACGUGGUCACUGUUGUUGGUAGAUUUCUGUUCUGCAAAAGUAGCCAGGGUGCUUGGAUGCUGGCUGCCUCCUCCCACACCCUCGGGACACUCUCAGGUGAAUGUUGGAGCAGUGUUAGGAAACUGCUUUGUGUUCCUAACAGUCAAUAUUGGUUCCUGCUGUUACAACUGUUACAAUGUUAAAUAAAUAAACUUGAUCCAGACUC
ensembl:lincRNA 4933404O12Rik RIKEN cDNA 4933404O12 gene